AUACAUGCAAGUCGAACGAGUUCUCGUUGAUGAUCGGUGCUUGCACCGAGAUUCAACAUGGAACGAGUGGCGGACGGGUGAGUAACACGUGGGUAACCUGCCCUUAAGUGGGGGAUAACAUUUGGAAACAGAUGCUAAUACCGCAUAGAUCCAAGAACCGCAUGGUUCUUGGCUGAAAGAUGGCGUAAGCUAUCGCUUUUGGAUGGACCCGCGGCGUAUUAGCUAGUUGGUGAGGUAAYGGCUCACCAAGGCGAUGAUACGUAGCCGAACUGAGAGGUUGAUCGGCCACAUUGGGACUGAGACACGGCCCAAACUCCUACGGGAGGCAGCAGUAGGGAAUCUUCCACAAUGGACGCAAGUCUGAUGGAGCAACGCCGCGUGAGUGAAGAAGGCUUUCGGGUCGUAAAACUCUGUUGUUGGAGAAGAAUGGUCGGCAGAGUAACUGUUGUCGGCGUGACGGUAUCCAACCAGAAAGCCACGGCUAACUACGUGCCAGCAGCCGCGGUAAUACGUAGGUGGCAAGCGUUAUCCGGAUUUAUUGGGCGUAAAGCGAGCGCAGGCGGUUUUUUAAGUCUGAUGUGAAAGCCCUCGGCUUAACCGAGGAAGCGCAUCGGAAACUGGGAAACUUGAGUGCAGAAGAGGACAGUGGAACUCCAUGUGUAGCGGUGAAAUGCGUAGAUAUAUGGAAGAACACCAGUGGCGAAGGCGGCUGUCUGGUCUGUAACUGACGCUGAGGCUCGAAA
rnacentral:rRNA from 1 species